UCGCGGGCGAAACCGCGGCGCGGAAUUCGUCCGCCAAAAAAUUGGCAGCCAAAUCUGGCGUGAGCAGGCCACGGAGGUAUAAAAAGGUUCGUCCUCUUUUUUUCCGUCCACUUCACUUUCCUCUUCGCAUCUCACCUACAUGCGCACACAAGAACCAGAGGAGGCCGGACGGCACGAUCUGCAGGCUGCAGCUAUCUCCUAGUCGCCGGUUCCUGCAUCAAUCCGAGCUGCUCCGCCGGCCGCCGGUGCUGCUUCACUUCUUGGAUCAAUCUGUCCAUCAACGUACAUCAAGAUGGACAUGGACCAGCAAAGAUAUUAUGUGUACACCAUGUUGAGGCGGAGGACUCUAUCUGUCAUUGUCCUUCUCUUGGCUUUGUGGUAUAGAAACAGGGAUGGUAGAAAAAGAAGAGGUAGAGGUCAAAAGUAUGGUCCACUAGUUGAGAGAGACCUCUACAAAACUAAUGUGUGAUUAGGCUUAUUAACACAUCAGUUGCAACAUGCAUCAAGCAACUGAGGAUGUCUCGAUCUGUAUUUUACAAGCUAUGCAAUAGGCUGAGGCAGAAGGAGCUGUUAAUUGACA